CGACUAUCACUCCUACGGGGAGGCAGCAGUAGGGAAUCUUCACAAUGGACGAAAGUCUGAUGGAGCAACGCCGCGUGAGUGAAGAAGGGUUUCGGCUCGUAAAAACUCUGUUGUUUAAAGAAGAACAUAUCUGAGAGUAACUGUUCAGGUAUUGACGGUAUUUAACCAGAAAGCCACGGCUAACUACGUGCCAGCAGCCGCGGUAAUACGUAGGUGGCAAGCGUUGUCCGGAUUUAUUGGGCGUAAAGCGAGCGCAGGCGGUUUUUAAGUUCUGAUGUGAAAGCCUUCGGCUCAACCGGAGAAGUGCAUCGGAAACUGGGAAACUUGAGUGCAGAAGAGGACAGUGGAACUCCAUGUGUAGCGGUGAAAUGCGUAGAUAUAUGGAAGAACACCAGUGGCGAAGGCGGCUGUCUGGUCUGUAACUGACGCUGAGGCUCGAAAGUAUGGGUAGCAAACAGGAUUAGAUACCCUGGUAG
rnacentral:rRNA from 1 species